UGGGCAACCUGCCCUCAGCUCUGGGAUAACUCCGGGAAACCGGGGCUAAUACCGGAUACGACCUUCCCUCGCAUGGGGGUUGGUGGAAAGUUCUUCGGCUGAGGAUGGGCCCGCGGCCUAUCAGCUUGUUGGUGGGGUGAUGGCCUACCAAGGCGACGACGGGUAGCCGGCCUGAGAGGGCGACCGGCCACACUGGGACUGAAACACGGCCCAGACUCCUACGGGGGCA
rnacentral:rRNA from 1 species